rnacentral:rRNA from 1 species
AUUGAACGCUGGCGGCAGGCCUAACACAUGCAAGUCGAACGGUAGCACAGAGGAGCUUGCUCCUUGGGUGACGAGUGGCGGACGGGUGAGUAAUGUCUGGGAAACUGCCCGAUGGAGGGGGAUAACUACUGGAAACGGUAGCUAAUACCGCAUAACGUCGCAAGACCAAAGAGGGGGACCUUCGGGCCUCUUGCCAUCGGAUGUGCCCGGAUGGGAUUAGCUAGUAGGUGGGGUAACGGCUCACCUAGGCGACGAUCCCUAGCUGGUCUGAGAGGAUGACCAGCCACACUGGAACUGAGACACGGUCCAGACUCCUACGGGAGGCAGCAGUGGGGAAUAUUGCACAAUGGGCGCAAGCCUGAUGCAGCCAUGCCGCGUGUAUGAAGAAGGCCUUCGGGUUGUAAAGUACUUUCAGCGAGGAGGAAGGCGUUGUGGUUAAUAACCGCAACGAUUGACGUUACUCGCAGAAGAAGCACCGGCUAACUCCGUGCCAGCCGCCGCGGUAAAAGGG